UUAGAGUUUGAUCCUGGCUCAGGAUGAACGCUAGCUACAGGCUUAACACAUGCAAGUCGAGGGGAAACGACAUUGAAGCUUGCUUCAAUGGGCGUCGACCGGCGCACGGGUGAGUAACGCGUAUCCAACCUGCCUCUGACUAAGGGAUAACCCGGCGAAAGUCGGACUAAUACCUUAUGAGGUUUUCAGCAGACAUCUAAUGAAAACGAAAGAUUUAUCGGUCAGUGAUGGGGAUGCGUCUGAUUAGCUUGUUGGCGGGGUAACGGCCCACCAAGGCAACGAUCAGUAGGGGUUCUGAGAGGAAGGUCCCCCACAUUGGAACUGAGACACGGUCCAAACUCCUACGGGAGGCAGCAGUGAGGAAUAUUGGUCAAUGGGCGAGAGCCUGAACCAGCCAAGUAGCGUGCAGGAUGACGGCCCUAUGGGUUGUAAGCCGCUUUUAUGUGGGGAUAAAGUGAGCUACGUGUAGUUUAUUGCAGGUACCACAUGAAUAAGGACCGGCUAAUUCCGUGCCAGCAGCCGCGGUAAUACGGAAGGUCCAGGCGUUAUCCGGAUUUAUUGGGUUUAAAGGGAGCGUAGGCCGUGGAUUAAGCGUGUUGUGAAAUGUAGACGCUCAACGUCUGAAUUGCAGCGCGAACUGGUUCACUUGAGUAUGCACAACGUAGGCGGAAUUCGUCGUGUAGCGGUGAAAUGCUUAGAUAUGACGAAGAACUCCGAUUGCGAGGGCAGCUUACGGGAGCACAACUGACGCUGAAGCUCGAAGGUGCGGGUAUCAAACAGGAUUAGAUACCCUGGUAGUCCGCACAGUAAA
rnacentral:rRNA from 1 species